AUAUACAUAUUUCCAAGAUGGGGGAGAGAGUGACUGCAAGCUCUGUGACUCACGGUUCCGGAUCGAUUUUGAACGGGCUAUCUUAGUGACUAAGUGGUUUUCGUACUCGAAGAUAAUUUCUUAAAACUAAAUUCCUACUUCAAUCUACAAAGUGAGUUAAGCGACUUUAACUGUAUUGCCGGUAUAGAAAUUCAGGCUAAGCAAUCCGUUACGUGAUUCUUUAAUUUCGCACUGUACACAGUGCGCACGUGAGUCAUGUGAGACAUGACUUGCGGAUUUUCGAUCGUAUAUUAUUGCGAUUCAUCAAUAAGAACGUGGCUCUACCUAGUGUACAAUUUAGCAUUGUAAUUCUUGAGGGAAUACGUCUAUGAUUUUGUGGAAUCGGACAGUAAUUGUAAACGCGUUACAGCUAUUUUAUGAAAACGGCUGAAACUAGGUCUGUGAUGUAAACGUGUUUUGAUUAUAAGAAUCGCUGCACACGACAGCCACGGCAGAGUCAGAGUAAAAUAUAGAUAUACAAUCAAAUACUCUGUUAUAAUUAUCUGCAUUUCUUGGUAUUUCACCAGGAAGAUGUUGAAGCAAGAAAUCUCUAAUAUUCUCUCCAACCUCUUCAUCUUCUAUAUACUCAAACAAUCUUUGUACUAAAGGAAAUCUAUCCUGUUGAAGCCCUACUGUAUCAACACUAAAAGGAUCUAGAUUUAAAUUAAAAUUUAAUCCAACACAGACAGUAUUUCUUGAUUCAGUAUGGAUAGGUAUAAAUGAAAAAACAUGCAAUCUUUCAGCGUGACUUCUGGCGCGGUUUAAUGCGAUAUUGGACGGUGCCCUUGUAGCAAGAUUAACAACAAUAGGAAUAUUUUCUCUUUCUGCUUGGUGACGUACAAGAAAUGCAACAUGUGAGUUUCUAGGAGAUAAGUCAAGAUCGAUGCCUAUUGUGUAGCGAUGACUAAAAUUUGCUAAGAAACCUAAUAAAAACCCGUGACUCUCAAA